GAGGAGAACAAAAGGAGGACACUGCAGAAGAAUGACAUUGCAGCAGCAAUCACAAGGACAGACAUAUUUGAUUUUCUGGUUGAUAUUGUUCCUAGGGAGGAUAUGAAAGAUGAGGUACUUGCUGCAACAGUUCCAAGAGGGCCCCUACCUAUUGGAGGUCCAGCUGAAGGUGUUCCUUACUAUAACUAUAUGCCUCCACAGCAUGCUGCACAAGUUGGGUCUCCAGUUAUGUACAUGGGUCAGCAGCCUCGUCCUUACAUGGCUCCUCAAAUGUGGCCACAACAACAGCAACCUCCUGAAGACUCUGAUCAGUAAUGAGUGGACUGCUGGUCAUUAAAGCAUGUGAAGGUAAUUUUUUAAUUAUCAUGCUGUAAAUGAAGAUUAUAUUGAUAUCACAUCGGUGUUCUUUUAAUUCUUUUGAAUGUUUUAGUGGUUUUUGUUUUUUGUUUAUUGCUGACUUUUGUUUUGGUGGCCAUUGUCCAGUUUUUAUCCAGCACCAUUAAGUAAUGAAGACUAAUUUGAUAAGAAUACUAGAAAACAUUUAAAUUAAACAUGUAGAUAAUUUUAUACACUAUACUCUUGACCCCACCUGAGUCGCUGAACCCAUGUUCAUCAUCUUCUUUAAGAACAAGAAGUAUGGUGAUAACCUAGAUCAUCAGAAAGAAAGACAAGAGACCAGAGAAAAACUUUGUCACAAUUUUUAACUGAACACAAAGAGAGAAACAACCCCCUCUUGGAGAGCAGGGAAGCUUUCCUCGACCAACAACUAUGUUUUGUGAUAACAUCCCACUUACAAGUGGUAAGCAUCUUUAGAGAUUUGAUGGCAAAAUACUCUUACAUAUCUGAGCACUUAAGCUGCUAGUUGCACAAAUAGCAUUUAUCCCUCUGUCGCAAUUUUGACCAUCAGAGAAUCCUCCUCCGCAUUUCGCCCAUAUGACCAAAUUUACUUUCCUCUUCCCAUGUUUAAGCCCCAGGAUCCAUUUUAUGUCCUAAGAGCAUCACCAACCCUUGAAGUAAUUUUUGGCGUAGUUUUUACACCAAAUUUGGUGUAAAAAUCAGACCAGUUAUUCUCUCCAAGCCAUGUACACCGAAGUUAGGACUCUUUUUUGUAAUAUAGGUUAUUUUAUUGUUAAAGUUGAAAUUAAUAGAUUUUGUGGAACGUAAAAGGAAAUGAAAUUGGUUUAAGUAAGAAGUAUGAGGGUAGUGUUGGAUUUACAAAAACUCUAAAUUUGGCGUGACACCAAAUCUGGUGCAACGUUUAGAGUUUGGUUAGAGAGGAAUUUACACCAAAUUUGGUGUAAAGUACACUUUUAGAGUUUGGUUGUAGAUGGUCUAAGCACCACUAAACUCUCCAGCCUUUCUCCGUCUGCCACCAACAACUCAAUCGCCAGUAUUUAAGAUCAAACUGUAGUAACAUAUGGGGUAAAUAACUGCAACAUUUUCAUUUUUAAUUUAGGAAAAGGAGAGAGAAGAAAACCAGCUGUUGGCGAUCUAAUAUUUGUGUGUAUAAAUAUUUGAGGAUUGAAUAGUACUUGCAGUUGGUGGAGAGUAGCAAGUAAUUUUGCUCACCUGGGUUAUUGGCUGGGUNUGUAUUGCUUCAAAAGCGCUCAAGUAUUUACAUGAAAGUGAAGGCGUUAAUUAGAAUGAUGUGUGUAUUGUUUUUGGUGUUGAGGAACCACUUUAUCGUAUGAGGUUCUUGACAAGAGUAACAUCUCUACUUCAAAAUGCAACUCACAUGCCUUGUUCUUCAACUUCUAUAAAUGAAGAGGAAGAGGGAGAACAAGAAUUUAAAGGACCAGAAAUUGAACUAAGUGACUUCGAAGCUUUUGAUUUGUUGAACAUCACUGAUUCAUACUUUAUUAUUGAUAAUUUUGUUAUAUUAGACAUGUUAAGAAUCUAUUAAGUACUAUAUAUAUGUUAAAACUAUGAUCUUAUUUUUGAAAAAAAUGCCCGUGAUUAUGGCACUUCACGAGUCACGCUUCAAAAUUAGGUCCUGCACUUUUUAAGAUAUUGCGCCUUAAACAACACAGAGUGUAUCCCAAACUGCAUUUUGAACUUUGUCAAAAGUUGUACACAUCUGUCAUUCGUCCUUAAACCUCUGAGUCAAAACUUUUAAAAGAAAUUAAAGGUUUUUGGGUACUUAGGUAUGAAGUCUGGCAGUCGUGACAAACAGAUGUACAAGGUAUCACAACCAUGUUGUCAUAUCUUAAAUGAAUGAACUUGUUGGAUUUUGUGUUUGAAUGUACUUGGCAUUUUGUGAGAUGAACUAGCUCAUAGGGUAAACAUAUUACUGUGUUUUAGAAUUCUAAGAACUUCUGUGAUAUCUGAAUGAUGGUUUUUACUGUUACUUUCCACCAGCAAAAGAGAGCAGGUCAGUUGCACGUCUAUUGUGUAUGUUUAGCAAAUAAGUUAGACGACUAUAUAGUUUUUGGUGCAGCUGUUUGAAGCUGCAGAUAUUGCCUAUUUCUUCUCCUUAUUCUGAUAUGAUUAUAUCUUGUGCUUUUCUUUUUGGGAAUUUACAGAAGAUCGAUAAAUAAAAUAAAUAAAUAAUGGACCAGCAAGGCCAUGGACAGCCCCCAAAUAUGGGUGUGGUUGGUACUUCAGCUGAGAUGCCAUAUGGUGUGGCUCCUUAUCAGGCUAACCAGAUGAUGGGAACCUCUACUCCUGCACCGGCUGGAUUAAUUCCGUCUACACAGACUCCAGGUCAGCUUGCACAACACCAACUUGCUUAUCAGCAAAUCCACCAGCAGCAGCAACAGCAGUUGCAGCAACAACUCCAGAGCUUUUGGGCAAACCAGUAUCAAGAAAUUGAGCAGGUUACUGAUUUUAAGAAUCACAGUCUGCCAUUAGCUAGGAUUAAGAAAAUUAUGAAAGCCGAUGAGGAUGUUAGGAUGAUAUCAGCUGAAGCUCCAGUCAUAUUUGCCCGAGCCUGCGAGAUGUUCAUCCUUGAGUUGACUAUGCGUGCUUGGAAUCAUACAGAGGAGAACAAAAGGAGGACACUGCAGAAGAAUGACAUUGCAGCAGCAAUCACAAGGACAGACAUAUUUGAUUUUCUGGUUGAUAUUGUUCCUAGGGAGGAUAUGAAAGAUGAGGUACUUGCUGCAACAGUUCCAAGAGGGCCCCUACCUAUUGGAGGUCCAGCUGAAGGUGUUCCUUACUAUAACUAUAUGCCUCCACAGCAUGCUGCACAAGUUGGGUCUCCAGUUAUGUACAUGGGUCAGCAGCCUCGUCCUUACAUGGCUCCUCAAAUGUGGCCACAACAACAGCAACCUCCUGAAGACUCUGAUCAGUAAUGAGUGGACUGCUGGUCAUUAAAGCAUGUGAAGGUAAUUUUUUAAUUAUCAUGCUGUAAAUGAAGAUUAUAUUGAUAUCACAUCGGUGUUCUUUUAAUUCUUUUGAAUGUUUUAGUGGUUUUUGUUUUUUGUUUAUUGCUGACUUUUGUUUUGGUGGCCAUUGUCCAGUUUUUAUCCAGCACCAUUAAGUAAUGAAGACUAAUUUGAUAAGAAUACUAGAAAACAUUUAAAUUAAACAUGUAGAUAAUUUUAUACACUAUACUCUUGACCCCACCUGAGUCGCUGAACCCAUGUUCAUCAUCUUCUUUAAGAACAAGAAGUAUGGUGAUAACCUAGAUCAUCAGAAAGAAAGACAAGAGACCAGAGAAAAACUUUGUCACAAUUUUUAACUGAACACAAAGAGAGAAACAACCCCCUCUUGGAGAGCAGGGAAGCUUUCCUCGACCAACAACUAUGUUUUGUGAUAACAUCCCACUUACAAGUGGUAAGCAUCUUUAGAGAUUUGAUGGCAAAAUACUCUUACAUAUCUGAGCACUUAAGCUGCUAGUUGCACAAAUAGCAUUUAUCCCUCUGUCGCAAUUUUGACCAUCAGAGAAUCCUCCUCCGCAUUUCGCCCAUAUGACCAAAUUUACUUUCCUCUUCCCAUGUUUAAGCCCCAGGAUCCAUUUUAUGUCCUAAGAGCAUCACCAACCCUUGAAGUAAUUUUUGGCGUAGUUUUUACACCAAAUUUGGUGUAAAAAUCAGACCAGUUAUUCUCUCCAAGCCAUGUACACCGAAGUUAGGACUCUUUUUUGUAAUAUAGGUUAUUUUAUUGUUAAAGUUGAAAUUAAUAGAUUUUGUGGAACGUAAAAGGAAAUGAAAUUGGUUUAAGUAAGAAGUAUGAGGGUAGUGUUGGAUUUACAAAAACUCUAAAUUUGGCGUGACACCAAAUCUGGUGCAACGUUUAGAGUUUGGUUAGAGAGGAAUUUACACCAAAUUUGGUGUAAAGUACACUUUUAGAGUUUGGUUGUAGAUGGUCUAAGCACCACUAAACUCUCCAGCCUUUCUCCGUCUGCCACCAACAACUCAAUCGCCAGUAUUUAAGAUCAAACUGUAGUAACAUAUGGGGUAAAUAACUGCAACAUUUUCAUUUUUAAUUUAGGAAAAGGAGAGAGAAGAAAACCAGCUGUUGGCGAUCUAAUAUUUGUGUGUAUAAAUAUUUG
rnacentral:lncRNA from 1 species